rnacentral:rRNA from 1 species
UACGUAGGGGGGCUAGCGUUGUCCGGAAUCAUUGGGCGUAAAGCGCGUGUAGGCGGUUCGGUAAGUCCGCUGUGAAAGUCGGGGGCUCAACUCCGAGCCUGCGUUCGAUACUGGAUGGCUAGAGUCUGGUAGGGGGAUCUGGAAUUCCUGGUGUAGCGGUGGAAUGCGCAGAUAUCAGGAGGAACACCGGUGGCGAAGGCGGGGU